rnacentral:rRNA from 1 species
UACGUAGGUGACCAGCGUUGUCCGGAUUUACUGGGCGUAAAGAGCGCGCAGGCGGUCGUUCAAGUCGAGUGUGAAAGCCCCCGGCUCAACUGGGGAGGGUCACUCGAUACUGAUCGAACUUGAGGCAGGAGAGGGAAGCGGAAUUCCCGGUGGUAGUGGUGAAAUGCGUAGAUAUCGGGAGGAACACCAGUGGCGAAGGUGACUCUUUGGCCUGUAACUGACACUGAGGCGCGAAAGCGUGGGGAGCAAACAGGA